rnacentral:rRNA from 1 species
CCCCUCUGCACCGAGGGAGGCGCCCGCGACUCUAAACAACGGGUACCGUGUCAGCUAGUCCCUGUCGGUGCGUGAGAGCACCGACCCGGGCAACAUCGUCAAACUGCGGGAAAGCCCUGCCACGACUCUCGGGACCUCACCGCCCCAGCAAUGGAAGCGGGUGCCUGCGGCCAACGGCCGCGGGUACGGUAAAGCACCGAAGUCUAGGGGCGAUCCGCCGCCAAACCCUCCCCGCACCGGGAGGGCCCAGCUCACAGGCCAGACGGCGAUGGGCGCUCUCGCGCUUAAGAUAUGGUCGAGUGACUCGCCGAGAGGCGGGUGCAACUCAGGAACGUCCGUAGGUGAACCUGCGGAAGGAUCAUU